GGACCCGCACAAGCAGCGGAGCAUGUGGUUUAAUUCGAAGCAACGCGAAGAACCUUACCAGGACUUGACAUCCUCCCGACAGGACUUUAACAGGUUUUUUCUUCGGACGGGAGAGACAGGUGGUGCAUGGUUGUCGUCAGCUCGUGUCGUGAGAUGUUGGGUUAAGUCCCGCAACGAGCGCAACCCUUGUCAUUAGUUACUAACGAUUCGGUCGAGGACUCUAAUGAGACUGCCGGGGAGAACUCGGAGGAAGGUGGGGAUGACGUCAAAUCAUCAUGCCCCUUAUGUUCUGGGCUACACACGUGCUACAAUGGCCGGUACAAAGAGAAGCAAACCCGCGAGGCGGAGCAAAACUCAAAAACCGGUCCCAGUUCGGACUGCAGGCUGAAACCCGCCUGCACGAAGUCGGAGUUGCUAGUAAUCGUGGAUCAGAAUGCCACGGUGAAUGCGUUCCCGGGUCUU
rnacentral:rRNA from 1 species